AGAGUUUGAUUAUGGCUCAGGAUGAACGCUGGCGGCGUGCAUAACACAUUCAAGUCGAACGGGCAGUAUUCCUUCGGGGGUGCUGCUAGUGGCGGACGGGUGAGUAACGCGUGAGCAACCUGCCUCUGUGAGUGGAAUAACACAGGGAAACUUGUGCUAAUACCGCAUGACGAAGCGAAGCCGCAUGACUUUGCUUCCAAAGAUUUAUCGCACAGAGAUGGGCUCGCGUCCGAUUAGGCAGUUGGUGAGGUAACGGCUCACCAAACCGACGAUCGGUAGCCGGACUGAGAGGUUGAACGGCCACAUUGGAACUGAGAUACGGUCCAGACUCCUACGGGAGGCAGCAGUGGGGAAUAUUGGGCAAUGGGGCCGCAAGCCUGACCCAGCGACGCCGCGUGAGGGAAGAAGGUCUUCGGAUUGUAAACCUCUUUGACAGGGGACGAAGUAAGUGACGGUACCCUGAAAACAAGCCACGGCUAACUACGUGCCAGCCGCCGC
rnacentral:rRNA from 1 species